rnacentral:rRNA from 1 species
GACGAACGCUGGCGGCGUGCUUAACACAUGCAAGUCGAACGGAAAGGCCCUGCUUUUGUGGGGUGCUCGAGUGGCGAACGGAUGAGUAACACGAGAGUAACCUGCCCUUGACUUUGGGAUAACUUCAGGAAACUGGGGCUAAUCCCGGAUAGGAGCUCCUGCUGCAUGGUGGGGGUUGGAAAGUUUCGGCGGUUGGGGAUGGACGCGCGGCUUAUCAGCUUGUUGGUGGGGUAGUGGCUUACCAAGGCUUUGACGGGUAGCCGGCCUGAGAGGGUGACCGGCCACAUUGGGACUGAGAUACGGCGCAGACGCCGACGGGAGGGAGCAGUGGGGAAAAUUGCACAAUGGGCGGAAGCCUGAUGCAGCAACGCCGCGUGCGUGAUGACGGCCUUCGGGUUGUAAACCGCUUUCGCCUGGGACGAAGCGUGAUUGACGGUAAUGGGUAAAGAAGCACCGGCUAACUACGUG